rnacentral:rRNA from 1 species
UACGAAGGGGGCUAGCGUUGCUCGGAAUUACUGGGCGUAAAGGGCGCGUAGGCGGAUCGUUAAGUCAGAGGUGAAAGCCCCGGGCUCAACCUGGGAACCGCGCUUGAGACUGGCAUGCUCGAGUUCGGGAGAGGAUGGUGGAAUUCCCAGUGUAGAGGUGAAAUUCGUAGAUAUUGGGAAGAACACCGAUGGCGAAGGCAGCCAUCUGGACCGACACUGACGCUGAGGCGCGAAAGCGUGGGGAGCAAACAGG